rnacentral:lncRNA from 1 species
AAAAUGUACAAGUGUUCCUACGAGUAGCCGAUUGGACAGUCAGCUACUGAUGCUAUUUACAUUUCAAUUUCUACGAAACUACCAAAAGAAGCGCAAACUCAUAUGUAUUGAGUUCCACAAGUAACAACACAAAAAUAGUUACGGAAAGUAGUUGAGUUGUCGUAGACCAAUCUGCCAGCUUUUGCAAUGUCUCCCACGAAUGUGAAGGAGUAAUGCAAUCUCUCUAGU